rnacentral:rRNA from 1 species
CAGCAGCCGCGGGAAUACGAAGGGUGCAAGCGUUACUCGGAAUUACUGGGCGUAAAGCGUGCGUAGGUGGUGGUUUAAGUCCGUUGUGAAAGCCCUGGGCUCAACCUGGGAAUUGCAGUGGAUACUGGGUCACUAGAGUGUGGUAGAGGAUAGUGGAAUUUCCGGUGUAGCAGUGAAAUGCGUAGAGAUCGGAAGGAACAUCUGUGGCGAAGGCGACUAUCUGGGCCAACACUGACACGGAGGCACGAAAGCGUGGGGAGCAAACAGGAUUAGAUACCCCCGUAGUCCCUGUCUCUUAUAC